rnacentral:rRNA from 1 species
GAUGAACGCUGGCGGCGUGCCUAAUACAUGCAAGUCGAGCGAACAGACGAGGAGCUUGCUCCUCUGACGUUAGCGGCGGACGGGUGAGUAACACGUGGAUAACCUACCUAUAAGACUGGGAUAACUUCGGGAAACCGGAGCUAAUACCGGAUAACAUGUUGAACCGCAUGGUUCAACAGUGAAAGACGGUCUUGCUGUCACUUAUAGAUGGAUCCGCGCCGCAUUAGCUAGUUGGUAAGGUAACGGCUUACCAAGGCAACGAUGCGUAGCCGACCUGAGAGGGUGCUCGGCCACACUGGAACUGAGUCACGGUCCAGACUCCUACGGGAGGCAGCAGUAGGGAAUCUUCCGCAAUGGGCGAAAGCCUGACGGAGCAACGCCGCGUGAGUGAAGAAGGUCUUCGGAUCGUAAAACUCUGUUAUUAGGGAAGAACAAAUGUGUAAGUAACUAUGCACGUCUUGACGGUACCUAAUCAGAAAGCCACGGCUAACUACGU